rnacentral:lncRNA from 1 species
UAGCUCAAGGAUGAGAAGGCUCAAUCCUCAUCUGACAAGGAAGCCUCCUCAUUGCUGUUCCCAGACUGAAAGGACUGGAGCUUCAAAUACGACGUUAUCUGCAAUAGGUGAGCCUUACAAUUCUCGAAACCAUCAAUGAAUCCACUAGCGGUAAUAUCAACUAUCUUCCUCUUAAGCUCCGUAGAAUUUCGGUACUCCUGAAUACAACA